rnacentral:rRNA from 1 species
UGGAUGAUGCUGCCAAUUGCAUAUGCUUGUCUCAAAUAUUAUGCAAUGCAUGUCUUGUAUAACCAAUCUAUACUGUGAAACUGCUAAUGGUUCAUUAAACCCCUUAUCGUUUAUUUGAUAGUACCUUACUACUUGGAUAACCGUGGUAAUUCUAGAGCUAAUACAUGCUAAAAAUCCCGACCUCUGGAAGGGAUGUAUUUAUUAGAUAAAAAACCAAUGCCUUCCGGCUCCUUGGUGAUUCAUGAUAACUUUACAAAUCUCAUGGCCUUGUGCCGGCGAUGGUUCAUUCAAAUUUCUGCCCUAUCAACUUUCGAUGGUAGGAUAGUGGCCUACCAUGGUUUCAACGGGUAACGGGGAAUUAGGGUUCUAUUCCGGAGAGGGAGCCUGAUAAACGGCUACCACAUCCAAGGAAGGCAGCAGGCGCGCAAAUUACCCAAUCCCGACACGGGGAGGUAGUGACAAUAAAUACUGAUACAGGGCCCUUUCGGGUCUUGUAAUCGGAAUGAGUACAAUUUAAAUCCCUUAACGAGGAACAAUUGGAGGGCAAGUCUGGUAAUCUUCAACCUGCC